CUCAGAAACCCUGUGAUGCAAUACUUUAUGAUGUCAAUGUAAAGGAAACUGAAAAGAGUGUUGAAAGACAAUGGUCAUGGAACUGAACAGAUGAGCCUCUGAUUCCUGUUCUGCCACUGAUAAACCCUAUGGUCUUUGUCAUUUACUCCCCUUCCUGGGCCUCCCUAGGGAGUAAUGAGGCUAGAAGAAAUGAUACCUGGGAAGGGAGUAUACAGCCAUAUGAGAAUCACUGUUAUAGGUGAUGAGGCUCCAUGAGAGGGCAUUAACUUCUAAAAGCAUGAGAAACCAUCAUCUUCUUCUGCAAUGAGAGAAUCAAUGUGCCUCAUGAAGUUACAUACCAUGAUGAAAUAAACCAUAAUCCAUCCAAA